rnacentral:rRNA from 1 species
GGGUUGUGAGGUUAAGCGACUAAGCGUACACGGUGGAUGCCCUGGCAGUCAGAGGCGAUGAAGGACGUGCUAAUCUGCGAAAAGCGUCGGUAAGGUGAUAUGAACCGUUAUAGCCGGCGAUGUCCGAAUGGGGAAACCCAGUGCAAUUCGUUGCACUAUCGUUUGAUGAAUACAUAGUCAAACGAGGCGAACCGGGGGAACUGAAACAUCUAAGUACCCCGAGGAAAAGAAAUCAACCGAGAUUCCCCCAGUAGCGGCGAGCGAACGGGGAGCAGCCCGGAGUCUGAAUCAGCUUGUGUGUUAGUGGAAGCGUCUGGAAAGUCGCAGGGUACAGGGUGAUACUCCCGUACACUAAAACACACAGGCUGUGAACUCGAAGAGUAGGGCGGGACACGUGGUAUCCUGUCUGAAUAUGGGGGGACCAUCCUCCAAGGCUAAAUACUCCUGACUGACCGAUAGUGAACCAGUACCGUGAGGGAAAGGCGAAAAGAACCCCGGCGAGGGGAGUGAAAAAGAACCUGAAACCGUGUACGUACAAGCAGUAGGAGCCUCUUUAUGGGGUGACUGCGUACCUUUUGUAUAAUGGGUCAGCGACUUAUAUUCUGUAGCAAGGUUAACCGUAUAGGGGAGCCGCAGGGAAACCGAGUCUUAACUGGGCGUUAAGUUGCAGGGUAUAGACCCGAAACCCGGUGAUCUAGCCAUGGGCAGGUUGAAGGUUGGGUAACACUAACUGGAGGACCGAACCGACUAAUGUUGAAAAAUUAGCGGAUGACUUGUGGCUGGGGGUGAAAGGCCAAUCAAACCGGGAGAUAGCUGGUUCUCCCCGAAAGCUAUUUAGGUAGCGCCUCGUGAACUCAUCUUCGGGGGUAGAGCACUGUUUCGGCUAGGGGGUCAUCCCGACUUACCAACCCGAUGCAAACUACGAAUACCGAAGAAUGUUAUCACGGGAGACACACGGCGGGUGCUAACGUCCGUCGUGAAGAGGGAAACAACCCAGACCGCCAGCUAAGGUCCCAAAGUCAUGGUUAAGUGGGAAACGAUGUGGGAAGGCCCAGACAGCCAGGAUGUUGGCUUAGAAGCAGCCAUCAUUUAAAGAAAGCGUAAUAGCUCACUGGUCGAGUCGGCCUGCGCGGAAGAUGUAACGGGGCUAAACCAUGCACCGAAGCUGCGGCAGCGACACUAUGUGUUGUUGGGUAGGGGAGCGUUCUGUAAGCCGUUGAAGGUGGCCUGUGAGGGUUGCUGGAGGUAUCAGAAGUGCGAAUGCUGACAUAAGUAACGAUAAUGCGGGUGAAAAACCCGCACGCCGGAAGACCAAGGGUUCCUGUCCAACGUUAAUCGGGGCAGGGUGAGUCGACCCCUAAGGCGAGGCCGAAAGGCGUAGUCGAUGGGAAACAGGUUAAUAUUCCUGUACUCGGUGUUACUGCGAAGGGGGGACGGAGAAGGCUAUGUUGGCCGGGCGACGGUUGUCCCGGUUUAAGCAUGUAGGCGGAUGUUCCAGGUAAAUCCGGAACGUUAUUAACGCUGAGGUGUGAUGACGAGGCACUACGGUGCUGAAGUGACAAAUGCCCUGCUUCCAGGAAAAGCCUCUAAGCAUCAGGUAACAUCAAAUCGUACCCCAAACCGACACAGGUGGUCAGGUAGAGAAUACCAAGGCGCUUGAGAGAACUCGGGUGAAGGAACUAGGCAAAAUGGUGCCGUAACUUCGGGAGAAGGCACGCUGAUAUGUAGGUGAAGUGGUUUACCCAUGGAGCUGAAAUCAGUCGAAGAUACCAGCUGGCUGCAACUGUUUAUUAAAAACACAGCACUGUGCAAACACGAAAGUGGACGUAUACGGUGUGACGCCUGCCCGGUGCCGGAAGGUUAAUUGAUGGGGUUAUCCGUAAGGAGAAGCUCUUGAUCGAAGCCCCGGUAAACGGCGGCCGUAACUAUAACGGUCCUAAGGUAGCGAAAUUCCUUGUCGGGUAAGUUCCGACCUGCACGAAUGGCGUAAUGAUGGCCAGGCUGUCUCCACCCGAGACUCAGUGAAAUUGAACUCGCUGUGAAGAUGCAGUGUACCCGCGGCAAGACGGAAAGACCCCGUGAACCUUUACUAUAGCUUGACACUGAACACUGGUCCUUGAUGUGUAGGAUAGGUGGGAGGCUUUGAAGUGUGGACGCCAGUCUGCAUGGAGCCAUCCUUGAAAUACCACCCUUUAAUGGCUGGUGUUCUAACGUGGGCCCCUAAUCGGGGUUGCGGACAGUGUCUGGUGGGUAGUUUGACUGGGGCGGUCUCCUCCUAAAGAGUAACGGAGGAGCACGAAGGUCAGCUAAUCCUGGUCGGACAUCAGGAGGUUAGUGCAAUGGCAUAAGCUGGCUUGACUGCGAGCGUGACGGCGCGAGCAGGUGCGAAAGCAGGUCAUAGUGAUCCGGUGGUUCUGAAUGGAAGGGCCAUCGCUCAACGGAUAAAAGGUACUCCGGGGAUAACAGGCUGAUACCGCCCAAGAGUUCAUAUCGACGGCGGUGUUUGGCACCUCGAUGUCGGCUCAUCACAUCCUGGGGCUGAAGUAGGUCCCAAGGGUAUGGCUGUUCGCCAUUUAAAGUGGUACGCGAGCUGGGUUUAGAACGUCGUGAGACAGUUCGGUCCCUAUCUGCCGUGGGCGCUGGAGAAUUGAGGGGGGCUGCUCCUAGUACGAGAGGACCGGAGUGGACGCAUCACUGGUGUUCGGGUUGUCAUGCCAAUGGCAUUGCCCGGUAGCUAAAUGCGGAAGAGAUAAGUGCUGAAAGCAUCUAAGCACGAAACUUGCCCCGAGAUGAGUUCUCCCUGACCCUUUAAGGGUCCUGAAGGAACGUUGAAGACGACGACGUUGAUAGGCCGGGUGUGUAAGCGCAGCGAUGCGUUGAGCUAACCGGUACUAAUGAACCGUGAGGCUUAACCUUACAACGCCGAAG